AGGGCAGGUCUGAGGAUGAUCUGGAUGAGGUUCUGAUCUCACUGACCUUACUCCGAUCUAUGAGGGAUAUUGUCACCAAUGUCACAUCAGAGCUCGGGCUCCAUGUUCCAGACAUAUUGCUGGAUGAGGACACUGCUCAUAGACAUGUGAAGAUAUCAGAAGAUCUGAAAACAGCAGCAACAUUAAUAAAUAAA